CAAAGGCUUGGUCCUGACUUUGCCUUCAGCUCAAACCAAAUUUAUACAUGCAAGUCUCCGCAUUCCUGUGAGGAUGCCCUUUAUCCCCUGCCCGGGGACAAGGAGCUGGUAUCAGGCGCGCGUAUAGCAGCCCAGGACGCCUUGUUUAGCCACACCCCCAAGGGUAUUCAGCAGUGAUAGACAUUAAGUAAUAAGCGAAAGCUUGACUAGGUUACGGUUUCUAGGGCCGGUUAAUCUCGUGCCAGCCACCGCGGUUAUACGAGUGGCCCAAGUUGAAAGUUACCGGCGUAAAGAGUGGUUAGGGAAAUAAUAAACUAAAGUCGAACACCCCCUAGGCUGUUAUACGCUUCUGGGGGAACGAAGCCCCACUACGAAGGUGGCUUUAAUACACCUGAACCCACGACAACUAAGAUACAAACUGGGAUUAGAUACCCCACUAUGCUUAGCCAUAAACUUUGAUGUUAAUUUACACCUAAUAUCCGCCAGGGAACUACAAGCGUUAGCUUAAAACCCAAAGGACUUGGCGGUGCCUCACACCCACCUAGAGGAGCCUGUUCACCCACCUAGAGGAGCCUGUUCUUGAAUCGAUAAUCCCCGUUCAACCUCACCACCCCUUGUUAGACCCGCCUAUAUACCGCCGUCGUCAGCUCACCCUGUGAAGGACUUAAAGUGAGCAGAAUGGGCAAAACCCAGAACGUCAGGUCAAGGUGCAGCGUAUGAGGUGGGAAGUAAUGGGCUACAUUACCUACAACAGGUUACUACGGAUGGAGCCGUGAAACCGGCUCCUAAAGGUGGAUUUAGCAGUAAGGGGGAAAUAGAGAGUUCUCCUGAAGCCGGCUCUGAGGCGCGCACAUACCGCCCGUCACUCUCUCCAAGUUCACUAAAUUUGGUUCUUAACAAGAUGACCGAACAAAGGGGAGGCAAGUCGUAACAUGGUAAGUGUACCGGAAGGUGCACUUGGGACAAC
rnacentral:rRNA from 1 species